CCGGCUAACUCUGUGCCAGCAGCCGCGGUAAUACAGAGGGUGCAAGCGUUAAUCGGAAUUACUGGGCGUAAAGCGCGCGUAGGUGGUUUGUUAAGUUGGAUGUGAAAGCCCCGGGCUCAACCUGGGAACUGCAUCCAAAACUGGCAAGCUAGAGUACGGUAGAGGGUGGUGGAAUUUCCUGUGUAGCGGUGAAAUGCGUAGAUAUAGGAAGGAACACCAGUGGCGAAGGCGACCACCUGGACUGAUACUGACACUGAGGUGCGAAAGCGUGGGGAGCAAACAGG
rnacentral:rRNA from 1 species